GUGAAGUGGUGGUGUGGGACAGAGGUUAAAGGGCAGGCUGAGUGAAGUGGUGGUGUGGGACAGAGGUUAAAGGGCAGGCUGAGUGAAGUGGUGGUUCAUUGUUUGUGUUAGCGUGUACACUCAGUUUGUGGUCUGCUGCACCUUUUGGUUUUUUCUGUUCAGUUCUGCAUAGAAGAACAUUAAAUGGAUGUUUCCCUUCAACUCUGCCUGUGUCCUGCCUCCUCGACUGGGACAGUCACACUUUUUCACUGUCACACAGACUAAAGGAAUGAACACCCAAACCGAAGUCAGAAUUAAGUAUAUUCUCCAGUAAGACCCUUCAAAGACUACAGUAAGACUAUAACAUCUUGUUAAAGUGUAUAGAACUAAUGGUCUGAUAUUACAGCAUGUAUAAGUAUUGCUGAUGUGCUGAUUUGUUGCAGGGGAACAUGAAUGUGAUAUUUCCACACACUCUCCCUGUAGGAUGCAGUCCUACACAGAAGUGUAAGCAAACUCUGCCCGCAUACACAUAUACACAGGUUUGUAUGGUUAUCCUCAUGGGCACCAGAAAAUAGAAAUUGCAUAAGGUUGCAAAUUAACGUUGCCAUUGCAAAAGGUCCCCAUGAGUUUUUUCUGGUUUUACUGUACUCAUGGGGACAUUUGGUUCCCAUAAGUAUAGUUAGACCUAAAACACACACACACACACACACACACACACAAGCCUUAGAUUAAAGAUUUUAUAAUUAAUUAUCAACUUACAGAAAGUACAUAUUUAAUAUGUUGCCUUUUGAGUCACAAGGUUAAACCAUUUGUGAUUGGCAUUCCAAGCUCCUAACAGAGCUAUACAUUUAUUAAGAGGAUAAUGCAAUCAUAUAUAUAUAACACUGUACAUAGCAGUAAAAGAAAUAGGCUACAGUAGUGCAGCUUAGCGUUCAACAAUUUUUGCUCUGAUGUCAGAAAAAUCCUUGAUCUUCGUUUGUUUCGGGAGUUCAUUAAAUUGUAGUAAAACAAUGUGAUAAUCCACAUGUUGUAUUGUCCAAUUCAGAGCAUAUAGCUUAUACACUUUGAACAAGAGUUGACGAAAGAACCAAGUCGCAAAAAUGAAUGUUCUAGUUUGCACGGUACAACAGCGUGGAAUCCAAAUGGCGUCAAGAUGCCCAUAUGGAGUUGUCUUAAACAUGUGCAAUUCGUUACUAUAGCGCCAUCUACGGACACGGCGGUGUUUAAUCUUGGUACCCUAUGGGGAUUUCGGCCGGAUUUCACUACUUGGACAUUUUGGGUUGUAGAUUCAUUUCUGUAACAGAUACAACCUAUUAUGAUGUAUCCUGGUAAUAACAACCCCUCUGGCUACAAUAAAAACACAUAAAAACAGACUUCUGGGUCACUAUUUAUAAAACUAAUCUGUUUGAAAGGCAAAAAAAAAAAUAUGAAAACAUUUCUGCCAUUGAGCAUGAAGAUUCUUUUUUGAAAGCAUUAUGAAGUUUGGUGUCAAUGGUAUUUCCUCAUACUUUCAUGCCUUUACUAUCAAAUUACACUGUAAUCGUGUUGAAAAUAAUAAAAUAAUGAAAUAAUAGAAGGUAAAAAAUAUAGGCACCCCCAAAAAAUGGUUCUUCUACCUAGAAAUAAAACACAAUAAAAUGAAAGAUAAUUAUCUUAUCUCACUUUUUAUUUUUGUGUAAUGAUGCAGAACGGCCAGCAGAUGGCAGCACUAGAUCGCUAGUUAUGUUUGGACUUAUAUAAUUUAUAAACUCAGAAAAAUUACCAACUUCUUCCCAAAAACUCAAGAACACCCCCAUACUAUGUGGACUAAAUAUUUAUUUUUAUAUCAUAUUUAUAAUACAAACGAUGUAUUAUGGUUCAAAACAUCAUAUAUAGUGAUGUACACCCUUGUAAUCCCUAUUCUUGUCUACACAUUAGACUUUCUAAGAUGCAUGGUCAAUGUCGUUGCCUGGUGAAAAGUUCCCAUAGCAACCCAAACAAUACACGGACAACCCAAAUUAUACACGGACAACCCAAAUUAUACACGGACAACCCAAAUUAUACACGGACAACCCAAAUUAUACACGGAACGCUUCACGAAAGUUUUUCGAAAUAUUUAUGCAAAUGAGCACUGUCCGCGGUUCCGCGGAUUUCGACUUUAACACAGUAAAGAACUGUCCCCCAUGAAGCAAAAGUCGAGGCUAUAGAUCAAGUUGAGCUGGUGCCAUGUAGUGAAAAAUGGCCAUUAGUUCGUGAAAAUAUUAUGGUAAGCAAUGGCGAGAUGUGUUUACUGUACAUGUCUACACAAAGUCCUUUACACAAGCAAUAGUUUCAAAGUCUAUUUCAUUUAAAAACUACCAAUGUUGACCAAAAUUCUGUACACUAGAUUUAACAGGAGAAAAGCGGCAAAAGCUGGUGGCCCGCUGGCUGUACGACAUUAUAGCCGCCGGCAGCCCGCCAGCAGCAAAACGCCGGCGGUGCGCCAGCGAUUGCCCACUGGGGUAGUUGUCGGGUGCCAUGUCACAAGAAUUGAAUUGUUCAGCGAGAUCUAUCUAGAUUGUUCACCAAUGGGAGGGAGGAGGUGGCGGGUCCACGGGGGGAUUUGUGGCAGGGCGAAUUACACUACAGCACUUACAUUAUUGUGAGGCUGUGAGCAGACAGUCUCAAUCAAUGCAUUUAGGGAAAGUAGCGACUUCAUUUUUCUAACAAGCGACCAAACCUAUUAAAACAAAAAAAUUGCAACCCGCGACCCGUGAUUAUUUCAAGUGACUUCAAAAGAAAAUAAGGCAGAAGUGGCGAAUUACAACCAGACUUGGUAACACUGGAUGCAACUUAAGUGCAGACUUUCAGCUUUAAUUCAAGGGGUUAAGCAGAAAUAUUGUAUAUUUGUAAACGUUUAGGAAUUGAAUAACUUUUUAUAUACAGUCCCAUUAAUCAUAAGUAAAAUGUUAAUUUUAAUACUUUGUUUGAGAAUCCUUUGCAGGCAAUGGCUGAUGGUCUUGAACGCAAGUAUAUCACCAAAUGCUGGGUUUCCUCGUUCGUGAUGCUUUGACAGGCCUUUACUACAGCUGUCUUCAGUUGUUGUUUGUUCGUGGGUCUUUCCUCCAGGAUCAAUA
ensembl:lncRNA